rnacentral:piRNA from 1 species
UCCAGGCUUGUGUUCCCCGGACUUGGA